rnacentral:tRNA from 1 species
GGGGAUGUAGCUUAGUGAUAGAGUGCUUGCCUGCCUAGCAUGUAUGAGGCUGUGGGUUUGAUGCCCACCACCACCA